rnacentral:rRNA from 1 species
UGGGGAAUAUUGGACAAUGGGCGCAAGCCUGAUCCAGCCAUGCCGCGUGAGUGAUGAAGGCCCUAGGGUUGUAAAGCUCUUUUACCGGUGAAGAUAAUGACGGUAACCGGAGAAGAAGCCCCGGCUAACUUCGUGCCAGCAGCCGCGGUAAUACGAAGGGGGCUAGCGUUGUUCGGAUUUACUGGGCGUAAAGCGCACGUAGGCGGACUUUUAAGUCAGGGGUGAAAUCCCGGGGCUCAACCCCGGAACUGCCUUUGAUACUGGAAGUCUUGAGUAUGGUAGAGGUGAGUGGAAUUCCGAGUGUAGAGGUGAAAUUCGUAGAUAUUCGGAGGAACACCAGUGGCGAAGGCGGCUCACUGGACCAUUACUGACGCUGAGGUGCGAAAGCGUGGGGAGCAAACAGG